rnacentral:rRNA from 1 species
AGAACUUACCAGAGCCAUGCGUAUGGUUUNGCCUUCGGGAACUCUGAGACACNGUGCUGCUNNGGCUGUCGUCAGCUCGUGUUGUGAAAUGUUGGGUUAAGUCCCGCAACGAGCGCAACCCUUAUCCGUUUGUUGCCAGCGGUUCGGCCGGGAACUCAAAGGAGACUGCCAGUGAUAAACUGGAGGAAGGUGGGGAUGACGUCAAGUCAUCAUGGCCCUUACGAGUAGGGCUACACACGUGCUACAAUGGCGCAUACAAAGAGAAGCGACCUCGGGAGAGCAAGCGGACCUCNNUAAAGUGCGUCGUAAUCCGGAUUGGAGUCUGCAACUCGACUCCAUGAAGUCGGAAUCGCUAGUAAUCGUAGAUCAGAAUGCUACGGUGAAUACGUUCCCGGG